rnacentral:rRNA from 1 species
GAUGAACGCUGGCGGCGUGCCUAAUACAUGCAAGUCGAGCGAACGGACGAGAAGCUUGCUUCUCUGAUGUUAGCGGCGGACGGGUGAGUAACACGUGGAUAACCUACCUAUAAGACUGGGAUAACUUCGGGAAACCGGAGCUAAUACCGGAUAAUAUUUUGAACCGCAUGGUUCAAAAGUGAAAGACGGUCUUGCUGUCACUUAUAGAUGGAUCCGCGCUGCAUUAGCUAGUUGGUAAGGUAACGGCUUACCAAGGCAACGAUGCAUAGCCGACCUGAGAGGGUGAUCGGCCACACUGGAACUGAGACACGGUCCAGACUCCUACGGGAGGCAGCAGUAGGGAAUCUUCCGCAAUGGGCGAAAGCCUGACGGAGCAACGCCGCGUGAGUGAUGAAGGUCUUCGGAUCGUAAAACUCUGUUAUUAGGGAAGAACAUAUGUGUAAGUAACUGUGCACAUCUUGACGGUACCUAAUCAGAAAGCCACGGCUAACUACGUGCCAGCAGCCGCGGUAAUACGUAGGUGGCAAGCGUUAUCCGGAAUUAUUGGGCGUAAAGCGCGCGUAGGCGGUUUUUUAAGUCUGAUGUGGAAGCCCACGGCUCAACCGUGGAGGGUCAUUGGAAACUGGAAAACUUGAGUGCAGAAGAGGAAAGUGGAAUUCCAUGUGUAGCGGUGAAAUGCGCAGAGAUAUGGAGGAACACCAGUGGCGAAGGCGACUUUCUGGUCUGUAACUGACGCUGAUGUGCGAAAGCGUGGGGAUCAAACAGGAUUAGAUACCCUGGUAGUCCACGCCGUAAACGAUGAGUGCUAAGUGUUAGGGGGUUUCCGCCCCUUAGUGCUGCAGCUAACGCAUUAAGCACUCCGCCUGGGGAGUACGACCGCAAGGUUGAAACUCAAAGGAAUUGACGGGGACCCGCACAAGCGGUGGAGCAUGUGGUUUAAUUCGAAGCAACGCGAAGAACCUUACCAAAUCUUGACAUCCUAUGACAACUCUAGAGAUAGAGCCUUCCCCUUCGGGGGACAAAGUGACAGGUGGUGCAUGGUUGUCGUCAGCUCGUGUCGUGAGAUGUUGGGUUAAGUCCCGCAACGAGCGCAACCCUUAAGCUUAGUUGCCAUCAUUAAGUUGGGCACUCUAAGUUGACUGCCGGUGACAAACCGGAGGAAGGUGGGGGUGACGUCAAAUCAUCAUGCCCCUUAUGAUUUGGGCUACACACGUGCUACAAUGGACAAUACAAAGGGCAGCGAAACCGCGAGGUCAAGCAAAUCCCAUAAAGUCGUUCUCAGUUCGGAUUGUAGUCUGCAACUCGACUACAUGAAGCUGGAAUCGCUAGUAAUCGUAGAUCAGCAUGCUACGGUGAAUACGUUCCCGGGUCU